UACGUAUGGGGCAAGCGUUAUCCGGGUUUACUGGGUGUAAAGGGAGCGUAGGCGGCGGGGCAAGCCUGAUGUGAAAGCCCGGGGCUCAACCCCGGGACUGCAUUGGGAACUGCCCUGCUGGAGUGCCGGAGGGGCAGGCGGAAUUCCUAGUGUAGCGGUGAAAUGCGUAGAUAUUAGGAGGAACACCAGUGGCGAAGGCGGCCUGCUGGACGGUGACUGACGCUGAGGCUCGAAAGCGUGGGGAGCAAACAGG
rnacentral:rRNA from 1 species